CUUUUGGAGAUUGGUCUAUUUGACUGAUACCCUGAUUGAAUACCAAUAUUGCUACUGCACAGCUUAACACAAAGAUGACCCUUCUCGACUACCCUGUUCCAGAGUUGGAUGCUACCUUGCAAGAGGUGAGCCGUGUCCUGCAGCUCACUUUAGGUCCAGACCUUUACCCAGAGUUCAAAAGUACGUUGGAACAGCAGAGGGAGAUCCUUCAAGAGGCCCAGCAAAAAUUGGCAGCCAUUGCUUCAGGCCAAGAAAACUGGGUGACGGAGCAGUUCAAGAGAGGUCUUCUGUCUUGUGCUGAACCUGUGCCAACCUCCACUGCCCUCCCUGUUGUUCUGUCUCCUUCCAAAGCAAAGGAAUGUACCCAACUGGGGAGGGCAGCCGCUCUGCUCUGGGCAGCAGCAAAGCUGUACAGUGAGCCCAUGUUACUGGAAGGCAAUGCGCCAAUGGAGCGCUCACAGCAGUCUGAGGUAUUCGCUGCAAGUCGGAUUCCUGGCAGGAGUCAAGAUGAGAUUAAGGUCUACCCAGAUAGCCUACAUGCCAUCAUCACCUGUGUUGGAGGAGUGUUCCCUGUUGACAUAUUGUGGCGUCCCAACACUGGCCCGGUUUCUGCUCGACCGUUCAUUGACAUCUACAACCAGCUGGCUCAGGUGAUGGAUCAACCCAGUGCAGGAAAUCAGAAUGAUCCCUCUGCAAUUUGCAGCCUCUCAGCUCUGGGGCGCAAAGUCUGGGCUGCCACCAGGGAAGAGAUCCUGGGGCAAGGAGGGGACGCAGCGGCAUCACUGGGGCUGAUGGAGAGUGCCGUGCUGACACUCUGUUUGGAAGACUGCAACGCACCCUCUGA
rnacentral:lncRNA from 1 species